UGGCUCAAACCAUUUACUUUAUGGCUUGAUAUGGCAGAGAAAGGCCGUGGAUAACUCGUAAAAAUCUCGAAGAUUUUCUACAACAUUGACAACGAAGUGAUGGGAAUAUAUUGUUGAUAGUAAACGAGAUGGCUUGUGAGAUUGAAGAAAUUCGGUGGAUAACUCGUUAAAAUCAUGAAGAUUUCUCCUGCAAAAGCUGGGGUAUUGACAAGGAAGUGAUGGAAAUGUACUUUGUUGUAAUUAGCGGGAUGGCUUGUGAGAAUAGAGAAAUUCAGCGAAUGACUAGCGAAAAUCAGAGAGAUUUCGACAACAAAAGCGAGGGUAUUAAUUAACAAAUGAGUAUUGUUAGCUUGGCCGACUGAUUUUGCUAAAGUAUUGAACGAAAUAUGGUGAAGAGCUCUAUUUAGCUACUGACAAUUUUAGCAGUAACUGUUCUGGCUAGAGAAAUAUCAGACUCAAAUUUAGUUUCCUUUUUCAGGCACAAUUCUAGAAUAUCCUGCAACCUAAACUGCCUUGUUGGUGGAACAAGUAUGUAGCACGUUAUCUUAUAACUGCUCCCGAGUAUUUAAAGAAUGUAGGGUGAUGACAGAAGACUAUUAUACCUGAAAUAUUUUCCUGAAAUAAUUUGCAAAAGGCUGUAUAGACAGGUACAGGUUUUAAUUGAUUUGGGUGCGACGUGAGAAAUGUUAUGAUAAACAAUUUGGUAAAGGGAAAGUAGAAAACAUGCCAACAAUGAACUAAUGUGGAGAAGUUAAAUUACAUACUGACACAAUAAAGAGUAGUUUGAACUAUCCGUAUGUAUUUUUAACUUAAUUGAAUUUAUUUACAUUAUGGCUGUUUAAUAAUUACAGCAUUCAAAAUUUUUCAAUAAUUUUUGAAUUUUUAAUUAUCAUCUUUAUAUCUGUAUUAAACAGAAUUUUAGUUUGUUAAUAAUGUUUUACAUGAUGUAUUGUAUUAAGAUUACCAAAAAAUGAAAGGCCAAAAAGUGUAUGAUUACACUAAAUUACUCAUUCUAGUAUAAUAUAUCAGUAUCAAUAUUCUAUU